rnacentral:tRNA from 1 species
AUUUAUCUAAUAUAAUUAGUAUAUUUGACUUCCAAUCAAAAAGUUUGCCACGCAAGAUAAAUA